AUUGAACGCUGGCGGCAUGCCUUACACAUGCAAGUCGAACGGCAGCACGGGUGCUUGCACCUGGUGGCGAGUGGCGAACGGGUGAGUAAUACAUCGGAACAUGUCCUGUAGUGGGGGAUAGCCCGGCGAAAGCCGGAUUAAUACCGCAUACGAUCUACGGAUGAAAGCGGGGGACCUUCGGGCCUCGCGCUAUAGGGUUGGCCGAUGGCUGAUUAGCUAGUUGGUGGGGUAAAGGCCUACCAAGGCGACGAUCAGUAGCUGGUCUGAGAGGACGACCAGCCAAACGGGGACUGAGACACGGCCAAGACUCCUACGGGAGGCAGCAGUGGGGAAUUUUGGACAAUGGGCGAAAGCCUGAUCCAGCAAUGCCGCGUGUGUGAAGAAGGCCUUCGGGUUGGAAAGCACUUUUGUCCGGAAAGAAAUCCUUGGCCCUAAUACGGUCGGGGGAUGACGGUACCGGAAGAAUAAGCACCGGCUAACUACG
rnacentral:rRNA from 1 species